rnacentral:rRNA from 1 species
GUGAAAUACAAAUCGGACUAGGAAAUAGCUGGUUUUCUGCGAAUCUAUUUUUAGUAGAUGAUUUAUUUAUUUUAUUAGUAGGUAUAGCACUGAAUAUCUAAUAUCAAUAGAAAGGAGUAUGAAAGUACUUACUUUGGAUAUUUAAUCUCAGAAUAACUAAUAAGUUGUAAUAAGUUAUCAGACUUCUUGCGAUAAGGUGAGGAUGAAGGAGAAAUUCCCAAAC